rnacentral:hammerhead_ribozyme from 1 species
AUCUAGCUAACUAGUCCCAGAUGGGACGAGACGCGCGUCCUGCAU